AGCGAACGCUGGCGGCAGGCCUAACACAUGCAAGUCGAACGAAGUCUUCGGACUUAGUGGCGGACGGGCGAGUAACACGUGGGAACGUGCCUUUAGGUUCGGAAUAACUCCGGGAAACUUGUGCUAAUACCGAAUGUGCCCUUCGGGGGAAAGAUUUAUCGCCUUUAGAGCGGCCCGCGUCUGAUUAGCUAGUUGGUGAGGUAAAGGCUCACCAAGGCUACGAUCAGUAGCUGGUCUGAGAGGAUGACCAGCCACAUUGGGACUGAGACACGGCCCAAACUCCUACGGGAGGCAGCAGUGGGGAAUCUUGCGCAAUGGGCGAAAGCCUGACGCAGCCAUGCCGCGUGGAUGAUGAAGGUCUUAGGAUUGUAAAAUCCUUUCACCGGUGAAGAUAAUGACUGUAGCCGGAGAAGAAGCCCCGGCUAACUUCGUGCCAGCCGCCGCAGUAA
rnacentral:rRNA from 1 species